rnacentral:rRNA from 1 species
AUUGAACGCUGGCGGCAUGCCUUACACAUGCAAGUCGAACGGCAGCACGGGUGCUUGCACCUGGUGGCGAGUGGCGAACGGGUGAGUAAUACAUCGGAACAUGUCCUGUAGUGGGGGAUAGCCCGGCGAAAGCCGGAUUAAUACCGCAUACGAUCUACGGAUGACGGCGGGGGACCUUCGGGCCUCGCGCUAUAGGGUUGGCCGAUGGCUGAUUAGCUAGUUGGUGGGGUAAAGGCCUACCAAGGCGACGAUCAGUAGCUGGUCUGAGAGGACGACCAGCCACACUGGGACUGAGACACGGCCCAGACUCCUACGGGAGGCAGCAGUGGGGAAUUUUGGACAAUGGGCGAAAGCCUGAUCCAGCAAUGCCGCGUGUGUGAAGAAGGCCUUCGGGUUGUAAAGCACUUUUGUCCGGAAAGAAAUCCUUGGCUCUAAUACAGUCGGGGGAUGACGGUACCGGAAGAAUAAGCACCGGCUAACUACGUG